rnacentral:rRNA from 1 species
GAUGAACGCUGGCGGCGUGCCUAAUACAUGCAAGUCGAGCGCACGGACGUGAUGCUUGUUUCUCUGAUGUUAGCGGCGGACGGGUGAGUAACACGUGGAUAACCUACCUAUAAGACUGGGAUAACUUCUGGAAACCGGUGCUAAUACCGCAUAAUAUUUUGAACCACAUGGUUCAAAAUUGAAAGACGGUCUUGCUGUCCCUUAUAGAUGGAUCCGCUCUGCAUUAGCUAGUUGGUAAGGUAACGGCUUACAAAGGCAACGAUGCAUAGCCGACCUGAGAGGGUGAUCGCCACCACUGGAACGAGGAAACGCUCAAGACUCCUACGGGAGGCAGAAGAAGGGAAUCUUGGGCAAUGAGGGAAGGCCUGACGGAGCAACGCGGGGUGAGUGAUGAAGGUCUUCGGAUCGUAAAACUCUGUUAUUAGGGAGAAACAUAUGUGUAAUGAACUGUGCACAAAGUGACGGUAACUAAUCAGAAAGCCACGGCUAACUACGUG